UACGAAGGGGACUAGCGUUGUUCGGAAUUACUGGGCGUAAAGCGCACGUAGGCGGACUCUUAAGUCGGUGGUGAAAUCCUGGAGCUCAACUCCAGAACUGCCUUCGAUACUGAGAGUCUCGAGUCCGAGAGAGGUGAGUGGAACUGCGAGUGUAGAGGUGAAAUUCGUAGAUAUUCGCAAGAACACCAGUGGCGAAGGCGGCUCACUGGCUCGGUACUGACGCUGAGGUGCGAAAGCGUGGGGAGCAAACAGG
rnacentral:rRNA from 1 species